CUUUCCAGAUCUGCAAGGACCCAACCAUUUCCAGAGUCAACUUCGCAAGAGCGUCUGCUACAGCGUUCGCUUCUCGCCUAAUCCACUCUGCUCUGACUUCCCACCUUCGAUCCAUUAAGUCAGCAAUCUCCUUCCAUAAACAACAGCGCCCCACUUCCGCCGAUCAACUCUCUACUUUGCUUACCAUUAGUUCUUGUUCUGCCUCCAAAA